rnacentral:rRNA from 1 species
UGCCACCAUCCGGUGGCCGCAGAGAAUAGGCCCAAGCGACUGUUUACCAAAAACAUAGGUUUCUGCUAAGUCGCAAGACGAUGUAUAGGAGCUGACGCCUGCCCGGUGCUGGAAGGUUAAGGGGAUCUGUUAGAGCAAUCGAAGCAGUGAACUUAAGCCCCAGUAAACGGCGGCCGUAACUAUAACGGUCCUAAGGUAGCGAAAUUCCUUGUCGGGUAAGUUCCGACCCGCACGAAAGGCGUAACGAUUUGGGCACUGUCUCAACAACAGACUCGGUGAAAUUGUAAUUCCGGUGAAGAUGCCGGAUACC